rnacentral:ncRNA from 1 species
AAUAAAGGUGACAUCACAUCAUAUGUCUUAAAAGGGAACCCGGUGCAAUUCCGGGACUGUCCCCGCAACUGUAAGUGUGGAUGAACGAGAAUACCACUGUAUUGACUGUAACUGUGCAGCGAUAUGGGAAGGACUCUAGUAAAAAGAAACACAAGUCAGGAGACCUGCCUUUAUUUGAA